AUUGAACGCUGGCGGCAUGCCUUACACAUGCAAGUCGAACGGUAACAGGUCUUCGGAUGCUGACGAGUGGCGAACGGGUGAGUAAUACAUCGGAACGUGCCCGAUCGUGGGGGAUAACGAAGCGAAAGCUUUGCUAAUACCGCAUACGAUCUACGGAUGAAAGCGGGGGAUCUUCGGACCUCGCGCGGACGGAGCGGCCGAUGGCAGAUUAGGUAGUUGGUGGGAUAAAAGCUUACCAAGCCGACGAUCUGUAGCUGGUCUGAGAGGAUGAUCAGCCACACUGGGACUGAGACACGGCCCAGACUCCUACGGGAGGCAGCAGUGGGGAAUUUUGGACAAUGGGCGCAAGCCUGAUCCAGCCAUGCCGCGUGCAGGAUGAAGGCCUUCGGGUUGUAAACUGCUUUUGUACGGAACGAAAAGGUGCCUUCUAAUAAAGGGCGCUCAUGACGGUACCGUAAGAAUAAGCACCGGCUAACUACGU
rnacentral:rRNA from 1 species